rnacentral:rRNA from 1 species
CCUACGGGAGGCAGCAGUGGGGGAUAUUGGGCAAUGGGCGCAAGCCUGACCCAGCAACGCCGCGUGAAGGAAGAAGGAUUUCGGGAUGUAAACUUCUUUUAACAGGGAAGAGCAGGAGGCGGUACCUCUUGAAUAAGCCACGGCUAACUACGUGCCAGCAGCCGCGGUAAUACGUAGGUGGCAAGCGUUGUCCGGAUUUACUGGGUGUAAAGGGCGUGUAGCCGGGCUGACAAGUCAGAUGUGAAAUUCCGGGGCUCAACCCCGGACCUGCAUUUGAAACUGUUGGUCUUGAGUAUCGGAGAGGCAGGCGGAAUUCCUAGUGUAGCGGUGAAAUGCGUAGAUAUUAGGAGGAACACCAGUGGCGAAGGCGGCCUGCUGGACGACAACUGACGGUGAGGCGCGAAAGCGUGGGGAGCAAACAGGAUUAGAUACCCGAGUAGUC